rnacentral:rRNA from 1 species
CCUACGGGAGGCAGCAGUGAGGAAUAUUGGUCAAUGGACGAGAGUCUGAACCAGCAAAGUAGCGUGAAGGAUGACUGCCCUAUGGGUUGUAAACUUCUUUUAUAAAGGAAUAAAACGAGGCACGUGUGCCUUUUUGCAUGUACUUUAUGAAUAAGGAUCGGCUAACUCCGUGCCAGCAGCCGCGGUAAUACGGAGGAUCCGAGCGUUAUCCGGACUUAUUGGGUUUAAAGGGAGCGUAGAUGGGUUGUUAAGUCAGUUGUUAAAGUUUGCGGCUCAACCGUUAAAUUGCAAUUGAUACUGGCAGUCUUGAGUACAGUUGAGGUAGGCGGAAUUCGUGGUGUAGCGGUGAAAUGCUUAGAUAUCACGAAGAACCCCGAUUGCGAAGGCAGCUUACUAAACUGUGACUGACAUUGAUGCUCGAAAGUGUGGGUAUCAAACAGGAUUAGAUACCCGUGUAGUC